AUACGGAGGAUCCGAGCGUUAUCCGGAUUUAUUGGGUUUAAAGGGUGCGCAGGCGGCCAUUUAAGUCAGCGGUUAAAUCGUGGGGCUCAACCCCAUUCUGCCGUUGAUACUGGGUGGCUUGAUUGCGGUCGAGGUUGGCGGAAUUCGUUGUGUAGCGGUAAAAUGCAUAGAUAUGACGAAGAACACCGAUUGCGUAGGCAGCUGACCAGACCGCAAAUGACGCUCAUGCACGAAAGUGCGGGGAUCGAACAGGAUUAGAUACCCUGGUAGUCCGCACAGUAAACGAUGAAUACUUGUUUUCGGCGAUAUAAUGUCGGAGGCAAAGCGAAAGCGAUAAGUAUUCCACCUGGGGAGUACGCCGGCAACGGUGAAACUUAAAGGAAUUGACGGGG
rnacentral:rRNA from 1 species